AUUGGAACUCUAGGUAACGAAGUGUCUUAUUUUCGGCCACGGCCUCAAAAAACUCCCGAAGAACUCCUUCGUCGAUCGAGGAAGUGACCCGCAGGGACAACGUGGGGGAGCAUGCUUCUCUGCGGAUGAGUGCGGUGAGCACCGAUAGAAGCUCGUCGGGCCACACGACCUGAAGC
rnacentral:lncRNA from 1 species